CACGCCCUAAACGAUGCGGACUGGACGUUGGGCACAACUCGGUGCUCAGUGUCGAAGCUAACGCGUUAAGUCCGCCGCCUGGGGAGUACGCUCGCAAGAGUGAAACUCAAAGGAAUUGAC
rnacentral:rRNA from 1 species